UGGCUUCCUUGAGAAAGAUGAAAUCAUCCAAAUUCACAGAACAUAUUGCCAUCAUCACAUUCAUGCAUGGUUCGUUAGUGAUGGGUGACAACAACACGCUUCUAUUUCACAUACUAGUGGCUGCAAUAAAUUGCACUUGAAAACCAUAUACAAGUUAUAAUACGAUACAGUGCGAAAUUUCCAAAAACUUUUCUAUGGAGUUUCACUAUGUUUUCAAGCGGGUUUUACUUAAUUCAUGUAAAUCCACUGAAAACAUAAUUUUCGAACGGUUACUUGACUUUUUCCAGUGAAAUUGAAAUGUAAUUUCCUCUCAGUGUACACUCUGAAACAUUUUUAAUCAUGGAGAGUUUAAAUUUUAAACCAUUUUAGCAUUCACGAGGUAUACACUACGCAUAGUUUAGGAAGUAUACAAACUACAUAUAUAAAAUUAAACUGUGCCAGAAUAAUGAAAAAAUAGUUUGCCCCUGCUUGGCUUAGUCAUCACAAUCAGGAAAAAAUCGCAGCGUGCUUCAUCAGACAAUUUUGAUUAAGUUUUUGAUUGCUCUCAUCGUAAUAACGAAAAAAUCUACUUUCAUUGGAUAGCACAUCGACCAAUGUUCCAAGGAAUAAAAAGGAAAAUGGCCAACAACACUUAGCAGAACCGGAACCUAGACGGACAGAUACCAGCCCAAAACGACACGCUUAGGAAGGGCAAUAGUGCAAUUUUUCGACGUGAUGAAGAUUAAGAAUUGUCCCGCUCCGGCGGCGGUGGAUUCUGUAACGGCCGUGGAACUGGCAGCGGGAUCCGGUCAUGGCCAUGACGAUGUCGACAGCGGGAAAGCAAAGAUCAUCAUCGAAUGCGGCGGAAUCAAGAGCCGAGGAAUUUGUGAUCGUUACCAGGUGUCGGAGCAAAUAAACAAGCAGCCAGCGUCACGAAAACGGCCAGAACCAAGGCCAGAACCAUGUUUCGGUGAUGAGAGACAGUAGACGUAAGAUUACGGAGAAAGAUCGCCGCGAGCGAGACCGCGAGUGUGCAUUAUUUGUUCAAAUAGAGCCGAGAAUAAAGUAAACCGAAUUGAA